ACGUCAGGAUCGCGCUCGGCGGGAUCGCCACGAAGCCGUGGCGGGCUCGGACCGUCGAAGAGGCGCUUGUCGGACGUACUUUCGACGAGCCCACGGUGCGGGCCGCCAGUCGCCUGGCCACCGAAGGCGCCGUCGACCAUGGCGAAAAUCGCUUCAAGAUCGACUUGGCUCCCCGCGGCGUCGCGCGGGCGCUGCUGACCGCUGGANGACCGUUGGAGGAAUCGCAUGAUGGCUGUCACCAGUUCUGAAUCGCCGAAGAGUAACGGAG
rnacentral:misc_RNA from 1 species